AGGGGAAUUUUGCACAAUGGGCGCAAGCCUGAUGCAGCGACGCCGCGUGAGGGAUGAAGGCCUUCGGGUUGUAAACCUUUUUCGCUCAUGGUCAAGCCGCAGCUUUGGGUUGUGGUGAGGGUAGUGGGUAAAGAAGCGCCGGCUAACUACGUGCCAGCAGCCGUGGUAAUACGUAGGGCGCGAGCGUUGUCCGGAAUUAUUGGGCGUAAAGGGCUUGUAGGCGGUUGGCCGCGUCUGCCGUGAAUUCCUCUGGCUUAACUGGGGGCGUGCGGUGGGUACGAGUUAACCUGAGUGCGGUAGGGGAGACUGGAAUUCCUGGUGUAGCCGUGAAAUGCGUAGAUAUUAGGAGGAACACCAGUAGCGAAGGCGGCUUUCUGGACUGAAACUGACACUGAGGCACGAAAGCGGGGGUAGCAAACAGG
rnacentral:rRNA from 1 species